rnacentral:rRNA from 1 species
GACGUAGGGCGCGAGCGUUGUCCGGAUUUAUUGGGCGUAAAGAGCUCGUAGGCGGCUUGUCGCGUCGUCCGUGAAAACUCACAGCUCAACUGUGAGCUUGCGGUCGAUACGGGCAGGCUAGAGUUCGGUAGGGGAGACUGGAAUUCCUGGUGUAGCGGUGAAAUGCGCAGAUAUCAGGAGGAACACCGAUGGCGAAGGCAGGUCUCUGGGCCACUACUGACGCUGAGAAGCGAAAGCAUGGGGAGCAAACAGG